AGAGGGCUUGUACCUGUGGGCUGGGCUAGAAGCAUAACCUAAGGGCGGGGCCCAGUGAGUGGUGAAAAGGCCACGGGGUAGAGGCAGGACCAGGAGGAAAGGGGACAGGACGUGAAGGGUAAUUCGGGGAUCGAGGAUAGAGGCUAGAUGAAGGCAUGUGGCGAGGCCUGACAGUGACCGACAAGGUGGACAUGCUGGCUCUGGGGGCGGGGACUGUUGUAAGAUUGGCAGGGAAGGAUGGGCUCAAAAAUAUGGAAUAGAGCGGACCCAGGGUCCGGGGGCGGAGCCUGGCCAGGACCUGGCCAAUCCCAGGCCUGGGGCCCUGGUCUGGUUCCUAGUUAGCGGGCGGGUGUAAAAGCCUGGAAAGGGGCGAUGCCUGGCCUGAGGAGUUGACCAAUCCCAGGCCUGGGGGCGGAGUCUGACUCGGAGCGCGUUCCCGGACUCGCGGGGGGCGCAGAGCCGAGGCCUGG
rnacentral:lncRNA from 1 species